rfam:Lyngbya sp. PCC 8106 1099428180552, whole genome shotgun sequence.
GUUGAAAUCAUCUAUAAUCCCUAUGAGGGAUUGAAAC